AAAGGUGAGGGCCCGGCGGGCGGUGCCUCACAGCCCUCCGCCUCUGGGAGUGGCCCAUUUCUACUAAGGAGGCAAGAGGUGGCCAGGAGUCUGUCAGCGAGUUCUGCAUGUCCUGGUGACCCUCCACCUGUUUCACAGUGUCACAGGGGAACUCGAGCCUAUCCCAGCUAUCUUAGGGCGAGAAGCAGGGUACACCCUCCACAGGUCGUUGGACUGUGGCAGGAAGCCGGAGUACAAGGAAAGAACCCACGCAAAAACAGGAAAA